rnacentral:tRNA from 1 species
GGAGGGGUGGCGCGAGCGGCUGAAGGCAGCGGUCUUGAAAACCGCCGAUGGGAAACCAUCCGAGAGUUCGAAUCUCUCCUCCUCCGCCA